rnacentral:lncRNA from 1 species
GGUUAAAGUUGUUGGUGGCCCUUGUAUUGCGGCAUGAUCUAUUAAAUUUAAGAAGCAUGACUUUAUUGCUUUUUCAUUUUAAUUGUAGUUGAAAAUGAUGUUAGGAAGAAUAAGAACAACACCAGAGGUCAAUUUUGAUUACCUACAGAAGGACGAGAAUAAAUCUUUUGAAAAAAGAAAUUCAUAAAGGCAACAAAAACAAGACUGGCAACCAAAACAAGACUUACAACGAGCAUAAUCAACUUAUUGAAUUAGUGCAAAAAGAGUCAACCCAAAAACAUGAGAAAAAGGAUUGUGAUAUAAGUAUUGGUAGUGUUAAAAAACAAUUUGAAAGUGAUUUUUUUCCUCAAGAAACUGUUUUGAUGAGU